rnacentral:rRNA from 1 species
CACUCCUGCGGGAGGCAGCAGUGGGGAAUUUUGGACAAUGGGCGAAAGCCUGAUCCAGCAAUGCCGCGUGAGUGAAGAAGGCCUUCGGGUUGUAAAGCUCUUUUGUCAGGGAAGAAACGGUGAAAGCUAAUAUCUUUUGCUAAUGACGGUACCUGAAGAAUAAGCACCGGCUAACUACGUGCCAGCAGCCGCGGUAAUACGUAGGGUGCAAGCGUUAAUCGGAAUUACUGGGCGUAAAGCGUGCGCAGGCGGUUUUGUAAGUCUGAUGUGAAAUCCCCGGGCUCAACCUGGGAAUUGCAUUGGAGACUGCAAGGCUAGAAUCUGGCAGAGGGGGGUAGAAUUCCACGUGUAGCAGUGAAAUGCGUAGAUAUGUGGAGGAACACCGAUGGCGAAGGCAGCCCCCUGGGUCAAGAUUGACGCUCAUGCACGAAAGCGUGGGGAGCAAACAGGAUUAGAAACCCUGGUAGUCCCAUGAU